CUCAUAGGUGGCCACAAAAGGAACAUCAAGCCAUCAUGGAGGUGACCUUCUUGGGAAGAUUUGAGUCCCACUGCUUCCCCACAACCAUUCUACUGGGAGACAACUGAUCAGAAACACAUGAAGAACACCCAUCUAGAGUUCCACUAAGCUCUGGGAACAGGACCCCGGGUAGAAAGAGAUCCCCUCCCUUGGGUUGUUCUCUGACCGCCACAUGUGGGCCUUGGAGCAUCUGCUGAAAUUGAUUUGUAACAGAAUAAGAAAAAAAAAUUAAAGUUGCUAAAUAACUUUAAAACUAAUUUUUAUUGAGCUAAUCUGACAAAAUAGCUUUAGUCCAAGAGAAGGGCUUGUUCCCUAAUUGAGUAAUUAAAACUCAUUCAGGCUAAUUCAGAAGAUC